rnacentral:misc_RNA from 1 species
UUAGACUGCUCCUCUCUGUUGCCAAACAUUCCGAUUAGAUGACAAUUACCGUGUACACCCCUGCGCAUGUUACCACCAGCGUCUUAAAUUCCCGGCUCCUCCGCUCUCCGCCACGACGGACAUUGUCGACGGCGAGAUAUCACCGCAAUUUUUGCUUAACUUGCGUGUUAAUACCGGAGACAAGGCGGGAAAGCAGACGAUUGGUCAACAUAGCCCUUGGGGUCUUGCUUCAAUGGCUAGCUCUACCUAACGAUGCAGUAGGAGCUAGCCCUUUUGACAAGUAUGUGAAAAGGAAACAGCUUGAUCCACUGGAGGCUUAUGUACCAGCUGUGCUGCUAGCUGGGGUGCAGAUUAAGGAAUUAGAGAAAUCCUUAGAGAUUGAUCAACCUAAAUAUGGAGAUUGCCGGAAUAUAUUGCGUUCUGGUCCUGCAUCAUCUCUUCGUGUCAAUAUUCGAGCAGUAGCACAAUACGCAGCUGAUGGUGGCAAUGGUAAAUUAGCUUUCAGUGAUGUUGAUGAGUGUCUGAGUGCAUUGGAAGGACUUGACUCGUUGCUUUUGCGUGCAUCAAGAAAGGAUCCAGGGGCCUCAAUUGACUCAAUGAAGGCACAAAUUGCUACUGCCUUAAAUGCAUUGGACAGUCUUCUUAAAACUGUCCCAACUGAUGUGCUUGAAAAGGGAAAGUCUGUAGCUGAUUCAUAUUUUUUUGCUGGUGAGGAAGAAGUAGCACCUGAGAGACUGGACCCUGAGCUGAAGCAACUGGAAUCUAUACUGUAAAAAAUUACAAAAGCCUCUUUCUUGAUCAGGUCAAUGUUUUUGCAUUGCUCAUUAGUUGAUGGGCAGAGAGAGUGUUACUCUUUACUCUCUUCAUUGAUGCAGGUCAUUCAAAGUAUUUAAGUAAUUAGUGUUGUUUUAUCUCUCUACUGAAUCGUUUCAUAUAUGCAUAUUUACUAAUGUAAAAAUCACACCAUAUGUACAUUUAAGGCUAUAUAUAUCGAG